AGUCAGUGAUGUGAUGCUAUGUUUACCUAAACCUAAAGUUGAUGUAAAUUCUAAAAUUACAGAGGCCUU
rfam:Canis lupus familiaris chromosome 6, whole genome shotgun sequence.